rnacentral:rRNA from 1 species
UACAUGAAGCUGGAGUUACUAGUAAUCGCAGAUCAGAAUGCUGCGGUGAAUGCGUUCCCGGGUCUUGUACACACCGCCCGUCACACCACGGAAGUUGGGGGCGCCCGAAGCCACUUAGCUAACCCUUUUGGGAAGCGAGUGUCGAAGGUGAAAUCAAUAACUGGGGUGAAGUCGUAACAAGGUAAC